CACACAGAUGCCACAUUUUCCACCACUUUAGCACUUUAUUUAAUUUGAUUAUUUCUUUCACAUUUUAUAUUUAUACCAUAAAUAUAAAACAGAAUAUACAGGGAAUGGCUGGAGAAGAUGCUUCCCUAUUGACUCUCCAUUCUCCCUGCAUAAUCCCUAUCCUUCUUCGUAAAGGUAUAUCUUCAUUAUUUUGGUUAGGCUCUCACACAAGUAGGUCGGAUUCAUUUGUUUGAUUAAAGAUUCACACGAGCACAACUUUCUUGAAAUCGAGACAUUUACCCGUUGUGAUGUCAAACUACCUCAUUUAAAACUUAAAAGCCUGGAAAAGGUUAAAGAAUUUACAAUUCUCAUUCUACAUGUUUGCUUUUGACAUAGGCAAAGGAACCUUUUUUCAACAUUUGGGUGGUACUUCCUUCUGUAUUUGGCCUUGUAUUUUAGAAGAGGGCAGUUGAAUUGGACACGUACAGUCUCCACAAUGGGAAGAAAAA
rnacentral:lncRNA from 1 species